AUGGGAGCAUUUGCUCGUUCUCUCCAGCUCCCAAGCCAGCCCUUCUCCUGAAGUACUUUUCUGUCCAACACAAAGCAAUCCUGGUGCCUUUGCAAAAACCCACUCCCUCUGGCUGGUGGGAAACCUGCAAGGUCAGAUUCCUCCAUGCAAGUGGCUUUUAAAUCUCUAUCCCGCCCACAGUGGAUACUGCCUAGCACUCCAUUUUUCACUCAUAUGCUGCACUCUCAUUUCUGGCCUGCAGGAGCUGAGUAGAUUGAUCCUGCUUUUCCUGGGCUAACUUAGUCUUUCCUUUCAGGAUGGUAUAGCUCACGGAACUGCAAAGUCCAUGUCUGCUGGGGACAGUUGCAAGCACCAAAGGGGGCAAACGAUCCAAAGUGCAGGUUCUGUGCAAUUCUCCUCUGUCAUUUCAUUCUAGACUUCCCCACAAUGUGCCACAGGAAAGAGCUAACAGGUGCCAAUGUCACAGGAGGAACCUAAGUAAGUCUCUGUUGUUUCCUGGAAGGAACAAAGCCCUCUGAGAGCAUGCAUCAUUCCCAGGCUGUUCCCAGGAGGAAAAUUGCAACAAGCUGAGCCCUCUGGAUAAAGGGGUGACUGUGAUUUUGAGCUACAUUGGCCUGCAAUGGCAAGGUGCUGGACAUGAAGGAGCAAAGAAGGCUGCAAAGGAAGCCUUUUCCAGCUGUGUCCCUCUGCUUGACUUUGUGGGGGCCACAACUGUGCCCUGAAGGUGGCCCUAGUGCAUCCAUAAGUGCUGGCGCAGGAAAAGGCCCCUUUGUUCUCCCACCAGCUGUUGUUAGUGCCCAAAAGCACCGCCCAGCUCUGCAGAGAGCAGCAG